rnacentral:rRNA from 1 species
UACGGGGGGAGCAAGCGUUGUUCGGAAUCACUGGGCGUAAAGGGUGUGUAGGCGGGUAAGCAAGUCGGGCGUGAAAACUCCAAGCUUAACUAGGAGCGGGCGCUCGAUACUACUUGUCUUGAGUACGGGAGAGGAAAGUGGAAUUCCUGGUGUAGCGGUGAAAUGCGUAGAUAUCAGGAGGAACACCGGUGGCGAAGGCGGCUUUCUAGACCGAUACUGACGCUGAGACACGAAGGCUAGGGGAG